GAUCCCUUUGGUUCUUAGUCCUAUCAUUAUGAUCAAUUGUGAACAGAAAUUGAUCACUGGGACUAGUGAGAUGGCAUUGGUACAUGCCACCUUGAUGGGAUUGAAUUGGAAUCCCCUGGUAUCUUUCUAACUCUACCGUUUGAGGUAAGUCAGCUUGAGCAUGUCCCGAAUUGCACAUCUCUUCCCUCUCUUAUUCCCACUCUUACAUUUAACAGCGAUCACUUUUCAGUUAAGUUUCAGCACUUAAGAAGAAUUGUGUAUUGAUUACAGUAUUCAACCAAAGGUAUUAAGUAGAACAAACAAAAAAAAUACUAAGAGGGAUAACAUAUCAAGUUGCUCAUCAACAGUCAGGGUGAGGGCUGAUCAAGUCACCGUUUCUCAUAGUGUUCAUUUAAUUUUAACAGGUUUCCUUUUUGGUGCUCAGUUAGUUGUCACCUAUCAAGGAGAACAAGUGGUAUUUGUCCCUUUGGGAUUGGCUUAUUUCACUCAGCAUAAUGUUUUCCAAAUUCCUAACAGGGAUCACUUUUCAGUUAAAAUUUAAACACCUAAGAAUAAUUGUGUGUUAAUUACAGAGUUCAACCAAUGGUACUAGAACAAAAAAAAAUACUAAAAUGGAUAAAGUAUUACAUUGUACAUCAACCGUCAGGACAAAAGCUGAUCAAGUCACUGUUUCUCAUAGUGUCCAUUUCAUUUCAACAAGUUUCCCCCUUGGUGCUCAGUUAGUAGUCGCUGAUCAGGGAGAACAUAUGAUAUUUGUCCCUUUGGGACUGGCUCAAUUCACUCAGCAUGAUGUUUUCCAAAUUCCUCCAUCUUGUUGCAAAUGACCAGGUUUCGUUGUUUUUGACUGCUGUAUAGUAUUCUAUAGAGUACAUGUCCCAUAAUUUCUUUAUCCAGUCUACUGUUGAUUAUUAGAAAGCAAUGGAAAAA